CCGUCUCUCCUUUUCAAUGGUCUUGAUGUUUCACUAUUCAAACUAUCCUUUCUUCUACAAUUUUGCUGUCUCUUAGCCAUUCCUUGUAAUGUCUUUAUUUCAAAGCUGUACAGAUUAUUUUUAGCUCUAGCUAAAAACCUUAACUCAGGCGUAGAAAUGACUAACUCU